rnacentral:rRNA from 1 species
AUUGAACGCUGGCGGCGUGCCUAACACAUGCAAGUCGAGCGGUAACAGGUGUAGCAAUACAUGCUGACGAGCGGCGAACGGGUGAGUAAUGCUUCGGAAUCUGCCCAAUGGUGGGGAAUAACCAGCCGAAAGGUUGGCUAAUACCGCAUACGUCCCACGGGAGAAAGCAGGGGAUCGCAAGACCUUGCGCCAAUGGAUGAGCCGAAGUCGGAUUAGCUAGNGGUAGGUAACGGCCUACCAAGGCGACGAUCCGUAGCUGGUCUGAGAGGACGACCAGCCACACUGGGACUGAGACACGGCCAGACUCCUACGGGAGGCAGCAGUGGGGAAUAUUGGACAAUGGGGGAAACCUGAUCCAGCGACGCCGCGUGUGUGAAGAAGGCC